UUCCGGUUGAUCCCGCCGGACCCCACUGCUAUCGGGAUGGGACUAAGACAUGCUAGUCAAGCGCCUUCCAGCCAUGUGGGAGGUGCGGCGCACAGCUCAGUAACACGUGGCUAACCUGCCCUUGGGACGGGACCAACCCCGGGAAACUGGGGCUAAUCCCCGAUAGGUGAAGAACUCUGGAAUGAGUCUUUGCCCAAAAGGCGUCAGAUCAUGCUUCUGGCGUCGCCCAAGGAUGGGGCCGCGACCGAUCAGGUUGUUGGUGAGGUAAUGGCCCACCAAGCCUAUUACCGGUGCGGGCCGUGAGAGCGGGAGCCCGGAGAUGGGCACUGAGACAAGGGCCCAGGUCCUACGGGGCGCAGCAGUCGCGAAACCUUUGCAAUACACGAAAGUGUGACAGGGUCAUCCCGAGUGCCGACCGCUGAGGUUGGCUUUUACCCAGUCUAGAACGCUGGGGGAAUAAGGAGAGGGCAAGUCUGGUGUCAGCCGCCGCGGUAAUACCAGCUCUCCGAGUGGUGUGGACGUUUAUUGGGCCUAAAGCAUCCGUAGCUGGCUGAACAAGUCCCCUGUUAAACCCACCGAUUUAAUCGUUGGUCUGCGGGGGAUACUGCUCGGCUAGGGGACGAGAGAGGCAGGCGGUAUUCCCGGGGUAGGGGUGAAAUCCUAUAAUCCCGAGAAGACCACCAGUGGC
rnacentral:rRNA from 1 species